AACACAUCUAAAAAUGUUGAAGUAAAGGAGCGUUAUCACACUGACUGUCAAGACAAUCCUCUGGUCUUCACAUGCAUGACACUAAGACAACACACUGUGUUUUGGUAUAUUUUAUUAAAAUUUCUGCUGUACACACAAUAUUGCAAAAGUUGAGACAAUGAACACAAGAUGGGUAAAACAACAUACUAAGAUGGUGAUUGUAGAUGUUUGUAGGAAAGGCGUGUGUCGGAGAGGCGUGUGUCGGGGUGGCGUGUGUCGGGGGGGGAGAGGCGUGUGUCGGAGAGGCGUGUGUCGGAGUGUCAUGAGUUGUUGGGGAUACUGAUAGGGUGGAUUGGGGGAUAUUGAUAGGGUGGAUGCGUGUGACAUGUUUAAAAUUAGGGUUCUAAGCACCACAUUCACCAAAUACGUCUUCGGUCUCCAUCAUUUCACUGAAAACAGUACAUGAGUCUAAUUCCAAGCAGGUUUUAGAUCAAGUGGCCUUUAAGUACUGAUCUACAGUCAGUUUUACUCUUCAACUCCUAAAUGGUUCAGGAUAGGCUAGGUGUCGACUCAACAGAUCCUAGAUCUGUGCUAUGGGGCAACUCCCAUGUCGCCU
rnacentral:lncRNA from 1 species